AAGUUAAUUCAAAACUCCCCCUAUCUGCCUGCUGCAGCAAUGGCGGCUCCCAUGGCCUGGAGGCGGCUGGUGUACUCUGUGUACACACCGGCCUUUGCCGGUGUCUUCACACGAAUAUCGGAUCGAUUCUUUCGCGCACGGGACAGAAGAAAAGGGUCCUCUGUGCUUCUGCUGGCCCCCCUCCUGGCUGAGGCAGAGCCGGCCCCCCACUGUGUCCCCCGGUCGGCAGGACUUAAGGAGACCGAUGGCCUUCUCACACAAUUCCAGUGGAUGGCUGAGCACGCGCCCGGCUUCAGGGUGCCGGGCACGAACAUCCACAUACUGUCCUCCCCCAGUCAGUUCUACCAAGCCAUCAAGUCGCGGAUCAAAACAGCCGAACGGCGAGUGGUGAUGGCCUCGCUGUACCUGGGCACGGGCCAACUGGAGCAGGAGCUGGUGGACUGUGUGGAGGAGGCCCUGGCGCGCUCGCAGCAGCCAGGCGACGGGCCUGCAUUGCAGGUCUCCAUCCUGCUCGACUACAUGCGAGGAUCACGAGGCCGGCAGAAUUCCCGCACCAUGCUGCUGCCACUGCUGCAGCGUUACGCGUCCCAGAUGCGGGUGUCCCUGUACCACACUCCUGACCUGCGGGGCCUGCUGCGCCUGCUGAUGCCCCAGCGCUUCAACGAGACCAUCGGAGUGCAGCACAUCAAGGUGUACCUGUUCGACGACAGCGUCAUCAUCAGCGGGGCCAACCUGAGCGACUCGUACUUCACCAACCGCCAGGACCGCUACGUCCUGCUGGAGAACUGCAAGGAGGUGGCGGACUUCUUCGCCUCACUGGUGGGGGCCGUGGGGGACGUCUCACUGCAGCUGCACCCGGACGACUCGGUGUCCAUGCUGGAGGGCAGGGUGCACCCGUACAACGGCAACCGAAAGGAGUUCUCGGCGUCGGCCAGGGAGCACAUCAUGGGGGUGGUGAACACGGCGCGCCUGAGGCAGCACCUGUCCCACCACUGGCAGGACGACGAGGAGGAGGAGCAGGCGGAGAGGAAAAAGGAGCAGCAGGAGGAUGAGGAGGAGGGGGAGGAAGAUGAUAGGGACACAUGGGUGUUCCCCCUGGUCCAGAUGAAGCCCCUGGGGAUCAACAUGGACGAGCAGGUCACCCAGCGUCUGCUGACCAAGGGCGGCGCCGACGCCACGGUGUUCCUGACCUCGGGCUACUUCAACCUGACCCGCGCCUACAUGAGGCUGGUGCUGGGCGCCGCCGCCGACUACCGCAUCCUCACCGCCUCGCCGGAGGUCAACGGCUUCUACGGCGCCAAGGGCGUGGCCGGCGCCAUCCCCGCCGCGUACGUGCACAUCGCCCGGCAGUUCUACGGCAACGUGCGGCGGCUGGGCCAGCAGGAGCGCGUGCACCUCUACGAGUAUCACCGGCCGCAGUGGACCUUCCACGCCAAGGGUCUGUGGUUCUACCUGGGAGGCCAGGACCGGCCGUGUCUCACGCUCAUUGGCUCGCCCAAUUUCGGCUACCGCUCGGUUCACCGUGACCUGGAGGCCCAGAUCGCCAUAGUAACAGAGAAUCGGGAACUGCGGGCCCAGCUCCAGGAGGAGCACGAAAGGUUGUACCAGAGGUCCUCGGAGGUCUCCCUCGCCACGUUUGAGCGUCCCGAGUGCUUUGUCAAGCUGUGGGUUAAACUGGUCACGCCGGUCCUUAAGAACUUCUUCUGAGAGUCAUUGUGGUGAGAAGCGAUUCCCAGCCCCAGGGCUCCGGUCUUCCCAGCAGCCGUACCAAAUCCACACGGGUCGAGGGAGAACAAUGUGGCGACUUGCUUUGAUGACUCUGUUAAGGAGUGAGUCAUCAGCAGCAGGGUAGCACGGGGAUGAUUUGACAGCUUGGUCGGGGCGGGGUGCCCUCUGUGAGAGGUGCAGCACCUUGACAAGGGGACAGACAUGCUGGGGGGGGGACUUCUUCAGCCAUGCCUUCGCCAUCACCCCCUUCUGAGGGUCCGCCGCAAAACUACUGGUUGAAAAUAUAAUCACUGUAACACUCCUCAUCUCAGUAAUGUUUAUAUGGGCUCCUUGUCCUGAGCUGGUUUACAUGUUACUAACCGCAGAGCACAGUGGGGUCUUGCCUUUCUGAAACAAUUUUUAAAGAUUCCCUUGUUAUUGGUUUUUUAUAAUUCUACAUUUAUUCAAAAAAAACCUUAAUGGCAUCUCUGGAAUUGCUGUAAUAAUAUAUUCAAUAAUUGUUUUCCACUCUUUCUCAAAAAAAUAGAGCGUAAGUUACCUUAAGAAAAGGAACAUGCAUUGUAAAUAUGAUUUAUGGUUGAUUUUACUAUAUUAUUGAACUUGCCAGUUCCUAACGGUACAAUGUUGAUUUAUUGUUACCUAUUUUGUAAAUUAAACUAUACAGAGAACAAAAUUUGUAACCAUUG